UACGUAGGGUGCAAGCGUUGUCCGGAAUUAUUGGGCGUAAAGAGCUCGUAGGCGGUCUGUCGCGUCUGCUGUGAAAACUCGGGGCUUAACCCCCGGGCCUGCAGUGGGUACGGGCAGACUAGAGUGCGGUAGGGGAGACUGGAAUUCCCGGUGUAGCGGUGAAAUGCGCAGAUAUCAGGAGGAACACCGGUGGCGAAGGCGGGUCUCUGGGCCGUAACUGACGCUGAGGAGCGAAAGCAUGGGGAGCGAACAGG
rnacentral:rRNA from 1 species